rnacentral:pre_miRNA from 1 species
UAAUAAUAAUGAUGAUGAUGAUGAUGAUGAUGAUGAUGAUGAAUAAUGAUAAUAAUAAUAAUAGUAAUAGUAACAACCCAGUCAUCCAGCAUGAUCAAAGCUCCCCUAACAGAUGGCCUAACAUCAUCAUCAUCAUCAUCAUCAUCAUCGAAA